rnacentral:sRNA from 1 species
UUCUUCUGUAGGGUCUCGGAGCAGAUCGAGCUGACUCCCGUUCUGCCAGGAGAACCAGCAGAAAUCCACCAACGUAGUCUAUCAGGCCCACCAUGUGAGCAGGAAUAAGAGAGGGCAAGUGGUUGGAACAAGGGGUGGGUUCCGAGGAUGUACCGUGUGGCUAACAGGUCUCUCUGGCGCUGGAAAAACAACGAUAAGUUUUGCCCUGGAGGAGUACCUUGUCUCCCAUGCCAUCCCUUGUUACUCCCUGGAUGGGGACAAUGUCCGUCAUGGCC